CUAGUUGGCGAGGUAAGGGCUCACCAAGGCAACGACGGGGUAGCUGGUCUGAGAGGAUGGCCAGCCACAUUGGGACUGAGAUACGGCCCAGACUCCUACGGGAGGCAGCAGUGGGGAAUCUUGCGCAAUGGCCUAACGGCUGACGCAGCGACGCCGCGUGUGGGAUGAAGCUCUUCGGAGUGUAAACCACUGUUGCCCGGGACGAAUAGCUCGAUUAAUCGAGCCUGACGGUACCGGGUGAGGAAGCACCGGCUAACUCCGUGCCAGCAGCCGCGGUAAUACGGGGGGUGCGAGCGUUGUCCGGAAUCACUGGGCGUAAAGGGCGCGUAGGUGGUUUGAUAAGGGUGUGGUGAAAGUCCGGGGCUCAACCCCGGAUCUGCCGUGCCGACUGUCAAACUCGAGGACUGUAGAGGCAGACGGAAUUCCGGGUGUAGCGGUGGAAUGCGUAGAGAUCCGGAGGAAGACCGGUGGCGAAGGCGGUCUGCUGGGCAGUUUCUGACACUGAGGCGCGACAGCGUGGGGAGCAAACAGGAUUAGAUACCCUGGUAGUCCACGCCGUAAACGAUGGGUACUAGGUGCCUGGGGGAGCGACCCUCUGGGUGCCGGCGCUAACGCAGGAAGUACCCCGCCUGGGGAGUACGACCGCAAGGUUGAAACUCAAAGGAAUUGACG
rnacentral:rRNA from 1 species